AGACGGUAGGGUAUUGGCCUACCGUGGCUAUGACGGGUAACGGGGAAUUAGGGUUCGAUUCCGGAGAGGGAGCCUGAGAAACGGCUACCACAUCUAAGGAAGGCAGCAGGCGCGCAAAUUACCCAAUCCUAAUACAGGGAGGUAGUGACAAGAAAUAACAAUACAGGACUUUAUGGUUUUGUAAUUGGAAUGAGUUAAGUAUAAACCCCUUAACAAGUAUCAAUUGGAGGGCAAGUCUGGUGCCAGCAGCCGCGGUAAUUCCAGCUCCAAUAGCGUAUAUUAAAGUUGUUGCAGUUAAAAAGCUCGUAGUUGGAUUUCUGUUAAUAAUUUAUAUAUAAUAUUUUGAAUAUUUAUAUAACAUUAACAUAAUUCAUAUUACUAUAUUUUUUAGUAUAUGAAAUUUUACUUUGAGAAAAUUAGAGUGCUUAAAGCAGGCAAUUGCCUUGAAUACUCCAGCAUGGAAUAAUAUUAAAGAUUUUUAUCUUUCUUAUUGGUUCUAAGAUAAGAAUAAUGAUUAAUAGGGACAGUGGGGGGGAUUUGUAUUUAACAGUCAGAGGUGA
rnacentral:rRNA from 1 species